UCAGUGUCUGGCGGACAUUUCUUCUUCUCUCAGUUUCCUUAUUACCCGGUCAGGGUCUCGUGGUCACAGGAUCCAAUGGAGGAGGCGCCCGUGUGCUGCUCCCUACACAGCUGCGAGACCAAGUACGCUGCCCGGGUGUCCGGCGUCAGCGUUGGGACAGUGACCCCAAAACCAGGGACACCCUCCUCGCCCGCGGAUCCCGCCACUUCCCUGCCACAGAGUCCGAUGGCGACAACCGAACUGAGGCGCCCGGCUGAGGUUGCUGCUGUGGAACAGAGGAUGGGGAGGCACCCAUUGAAGAGAAUGUUAAUGUAAGAGGCUCAAGGGCUAUGAAUCUGAAGUCAGCACUGUCUUCCCAGAAGAACCACCCAUGUGAGAGUUGUGGGUGUGUCUUGAGACAUAUUUUCUUCUCCACUGACCAGCAGGGAACCCAACAGGGCCCAACACUGCUGAGGUGUGGGGCAUGUGCAAAACCAUUCUAUUUCAGUGCACAGAGUCACCAACUCCAGGAGCAGGACACGACAAAGAAUUGUUUCAUCAGCAGUGUGGACAGGGUCUUGCUUGCAAAGAGCUGCAAUUCCCAUGUGUUGUGGAAGGCUCGUAGCUCUAGUCAGGACGGAAUAGGCUUCCUCAUCAGCUCUACCAUGCACAGGAAAAAUGAAAUCCCUAAGUCUGGAAUGACUUUACAAACUACAAAAUAUUGCACCCCAAGAGAAUACAAGGAAGCCAUUGGCUGUGACGACACACUUGUUGACCAGAAUUUCCUUACUAGAAAACAGUUUUUUUUGUGUUGUGAAUGUGGGAAGUCUUUUAACACAAUUUCUGCCCUCCGUAUUCAUCAUAGAGUUCACACUGGAGAAAGGCCUUAUGAGUGCACUGAAUGUGUGAAGUCUUUUAGCCGAAUUUCUGCCCUCCAGGUUCAUCAGAGAGUUCACACUGGAGAAAGGCCUUUUAAGUGCGGUGAGUGUGGGAAAUCUUUCACCAGUAGCCCUGCCCUCCGUGUACAUCAGAGAGUUCACACUGGUGAAAGGCCUUAUAAGUGUGGUGAAUGUGGGAAGUCUUAUACCAGUCACUCUGGUCUCAGCCAUCAUCAGAAACUUCACACUGGAGAAAGGCCUUAUGGGUGCAGUGAAUGUGGGAAAUUGUUUAAGCAAAAAGCUAACUUUAAUUCUCAUCAGAGAGUUCACACUGGAGAAAGGCCUUACAAGUGUGGUGACUGUGGAAAAUCUUUCACCAGUAGCUGUGGCCUCCGGUAUCAUCAUAGAGUUCACACUGGGAAAAGGCCUUAUGUGUGUGGUGAAUGUGGGAAAUCUUUUACGCAAAGCUCUAACCUCCGUCAUCAUCAGAAUUUUCACACAGGAGAAAGGCCUUAUAAAUGCGGUGAAUGUGGGAAAUCUUUUACCCGUAUCUGUUACCUUCGAAAACAUCACAGAGAUCACACUGGAGAAAGGCCUUACGAGUGCGGUGAAUGUGGGAAAUCUUUCAGCUGUAGCUCUUCCCUCCGUCAUCAUCAGAAAGUUCAUAUAGAAGAAAAGCCUUAUAAGUGCAGUGAAUGCGGAAAGUCUUUUACCCAAAACUCUGAGCUUCGUAAACAUCACAGAGUUCACACUGGAGAAAGGCCUUAUGAGUGCAGUGAAUGUGGAAAAUCUUUUGCCCAUAGCUCUUCCCUCCGUCAUCAUCACAGAGUUCACUCUGGAAUAAGGCCUUAUAAGUGUGGUCAGUGUGAAAAAUCUUACACCAGUCGCUCUGGUCUCCGUCAUCAUGAGAAAGUUCACACUGGAGAAAGGCCUUAUGAGUGCAGUGAACAUGGGGAAUCUUGUAUCACUAGCUCUGCCCUCCAUUUUCAUCAGAGUGUUCACACUGGAUAAAGCACUGAUUACUGCACUAAAUGGGGAAACCCUUUAUAUGUACCUGUCACCUCCAUUAGCCUCAGAGAGUUCACACCAAAGAAGCACUUAUGAAUGUGGUGAAAGUGGGAAAUCUUUUAUCUAUUCAUUAACUGUCAUUGUUAUCAGACUGCACACAGUAGCAAAGCUUUAUGUCUGCAGGGAAUGUGGGACGUGUUUUAUCAGUAAUCAUCGUUUUCCUUGGAGACUUCACAUUGGAGAAAGGCCCCAUCAAUGCAGUGAAAGUGGAAAUCCUUUUUCUGUAGCAGUCCCUCAGUUGUCAUCAGAGAGUCACCCUGGAGAAUGGCCUUAUGCCUGCAGUGAAUUUGGGGAAUGUUUUUCUAGUAUCAGUGAUUUCCACUGAUUCAAGGUUUUUUAUAUAUGCAAUAUGAGAAUUUUUUAAUGCCACAAUCUUCCAUUAUAUUCCCAGGUUCCCGUGGUAAACAGCCCAAUGAGUAUGUUUUUGAUUCUAACUCCUUUCUUAUUAGAGAGUUUGCAGAGGAGAUAGUCUUUAUGAUGACAUGAACUGUGGGAAAUCUUCCACCUCGUUUCCAUAGGCAUGUUAAUUUCACACUGGUAAAAAGAUUCAAGCAUGAGGUGAACAUGGGAAGUCUUUAGCCAUAAGUCUUCAGCCUUUUGAUGUUGGAAAGGUCUCACUUUGUAAAAGUUUAGAUUGUAGGAAAUGUAUUUUUUUUUCAGUGUAAUAAUAUUGAAAAAAAACUUCCUGAAAAUGUCUGAGUUUAAUUUUAUAUACUCAGAGUGUGGAGAUGUAUGUCUCAGAAAUUUAAUAUUUAAAUGUUGAAGUACUUAACAAAUUAUGAUCUAAACUCUUUGUGCCUUUAUGCAUUUAUACUUAAAGUGUAAGAGGGUUGCAUUCCCCCACUCUAACAAAAUGUCGAUUUGUUUAUUUUUUAUAAUUUUAGCUGUUUUUACAUAUUUGUCAUGUUCUUUUUAUUGUUCUAGUGGUACUUUUCUAAGGAUUUAUGAUUAGCAUUUUUCAGGAGUGUAUGUAAAACGGGUAUGUUUUUAGUAUAUCCUGUGCUCACAUACUUUACCUAUGGUUUUGUAAUUUUAGGCUACUCUCCAUAGAAAAUAGGAGAGUGAAACAACAAAGACCUGUGUUGUAAUGUCACCCAUUUUCACUCCUUGAAAAACAGAUAAUUUUUGUUUCAUGGAAUAAUUGUUUUUAUGGAAACAUUGUUUUUAAUCGUGGAAAACAUCUCCAAAUUAUUUGGAUUUUUUGCUGUAAAGGAUGUGUAGUUUUCAGCCCUUUCUGUGGUCUUUCAUCUGGGGUUGAUGUGCUACAGCAGAACUUGAAGGUGCACCAGGUGGUAUGAAGAUCAAUGGUGGGUAUUUGUUGAGCCUGAAAGCCCUCAUAGAAGCCAAAGACAAGAAACCAGUGAUUAGACUCCCCGUAUCUUGGCCAUGCAAGCUGGGUUUAUGUCUUAGAUUAUUGACCGUAGUUGUUAUUACAGGAAAGUGAUUCACUGUAUAGGCCUCAGUAUUCUCCUGUGUAAAUAGGGAUAAAAAGCACCCUUGCCCUGGGCUGAGUGGCACAAUGGCCUGAAUGCUGUCCCACAAACCAAAAGAUUGCGUGUUCAAUUCCUGCUCAGGGCACAUGCCUGUGUUUUCGUCCAGUUUCCAAGUUAGGAGAUUGGGAAGGGCAAACACUGUUUUUGCAGUUCAACAUUUCUCUUGCUCUCUCCCUUCUUUACCCUCUCUAAAAUCCAGAGAAUAAAAUAAUUUUAAGAAAGAGCAGCCUUCAUCCUUGAAUAAAAAUUAUCCAGGGCUUGCAUUUUGAUCAAAAUUGUUAUUUUAAUCCUAACUACACUCUGGGAAUUAGUAACUGUUCGUGUAUUUCUGGGGAGAAUAGGAUGUAGAGGAGGAAAGGGUUUUUCCAAGGUCACAGGACAGACAAUUGUCAGAUUGAAGUGGCCGGAUUCAGACAUGUGAGUCUGGCUCCAGAGCUGGGCACAAUCUACCAUAGCAUAUUCCGCCCUCCGCAUAAGACAGGACAGGAGGGCCAGAGACGUGAGAAACUCAGCUAGCUGCUGUUUUCAUUAUUUUAAUUAUCACGAAUUUUCUGUGUUUUUUCCUGAUAUCUUAUAGUAUUUAACAUCUGCCUCAUAGUCGUCAUGGGAAUACUAUCUGUUAUUUGCAUUGCCUCUCCAGGGGAAACUACGUUGAGCCUUAGCUGCAUUUUGCCUACCUCCUUUUUGAGCUUAGUGUACACAGAUCAGGACUAAUGAGACCCCAGUGAUUCAUGGCUGGGUCUCUGCACAUUCACUUACCUUUUGCACGACAGGCUAGGUUAUUAUGCACUGUGGUGAAUAUUAUCCACUCAGAGUAUGGUUCUCCUAAACGACAACCUUGUCUACACAGGCAGUGUCAUCAAAGGUAACAAAAGCAAAGCCUCUCUUUUAGCCACUGCCUGAGUCAGUCACGACUUCAAUCACUUCCAUUGUUCCAUGUUGUUAAAAUAAUCUGUUAGGUGUUUUCCAGUGUCUUCUUUGCUACCAUCGACUAAAGUCUUCACAGUUAAGGGUCACCAUGUCUGUGAAAAUUUAAAGGUUUCAGUUAUUUAUUUUUAGAGGGAGGGUAAAGUAGGGAGAGAGGGAGACAAAUAAUGGAUCUGCUGCCUCAAACGUGCCCCCAACUGGGAAUCUAGUCCACAAUCCAGACGGGUCCUGACAGGAAUCAAACCAGCAACAUUUCGAUUCACAAGGCAGAGCUCAAUCCACUGAGCCAGACCUCAGCAGGGCUCGGGAAUUUUCUCCUGAAAAAGGCUCUUUGGUUCCACAGCUCUUCCACCUACCUAUAUGGCUACGUGUUCUUGGCUGCAUCCACAUCCUCCAAUGUGGUAUGUGUGACAGUCCCCAAGUCUCUGGAGCACUUGGUGUUUGGAUCUUCAUCACACAGCUUGUGGGCAUUUGCCAUUGCUCCACAUUGCUCUUCAGACCCUCAGCACAUGUUUCAAAUCUCAAACCUUCAAUGAAGAGCUUCUUUAGCUGUUAGGGCUCUCAGGGAGACUCUGACUUAGAUGUAGCAACUGCAGGAGGGAGACUUCAGCGAUGGUUACUCAGCAGUGUCCACUGGCAGAAGGAGUCAAUAUUUGUGUUCUAAUUCCUGAAAACAAUUAUGUUAUUUAAAAUUUUAU